CAGUAGCCGCGGGAAUACAGAGGGUGCAAGCGUUAAUCGGAAUUACUGGGCGUAAAGCGCGCGUAGGUGGUUUGUUAAGUUGAAUGUGAAAUCCCCGGGCUCAACCUGGGAACUGCAUCCAAAACUGGCAAGCUAGAGUAGGGCAGAGGGUGGUGGAAUUUCCUGUGUAGCGGUGAAAUGCGUAGAUAAAGGAAGGAACACCAGUGGCGAAGGCGACCACCUGGGCUCAUACUGACACUGAGGUGCGAAAGCGUGGGGAGCAAACAGGAUUAGAUACCCCGGUAGUCCCUGUCUCUUAUAC
rnacentral:rRNA from 1 species